rnacentral:lncRNA from 1 species
CCAGGCUCACCUGUGGGGGUGUCCCCGGGGAUGUCCCUGGACAUUUCCCCAGGAGAGUCCCUGGGUGUCACUCUGGGUGUGUCCCUGGACAAAAUCCCAAUUUUAUCCCAAAAUUCCGGUUCCAAUUCCCUUUUGGGGUUCCAGGCUCACCUCUGGGGGUGUCCCCGAGGGUGUCCAUGGACAAAAUCCCGUUUUUACCCCAAAAUUCCGGUUCCAAUUCCCUUUGGGAUGUUCCAGGCUCACCUCUGGGGGUGUCCCCGGGGGUCUCCCCGGGCGGCUCACCCCCGGUGACACCCUGGGCAUUUCCCUGGGUGUUUCCAUGGACAAAAUCCCGUUUUUACCCCAAAAUUCCAGUUCCAAACUCCUGUUUGGGGUUCCAGCCUCACCUCUGGGUGUGUCCCUGGACAAAAUCCCGUUUUUAUCCCAAAAUUCCGGUUCCAAUUCCCGUCUGGGGGUCCAGGCUCACCUCUGGGGGUGUCCCCGGGGGUGUCCCCGUGUGUCACUCUGGGGGUGUCCCCGGGGGUGACCAUGGACAAAAUCCCGUUUUUACCCCAAAAUUCCGGUUCCAAACUCCCUUUUGGGGGUCCGGGCUCACCUCUGGGGGUGUCCCCGGGGGUCUCCCGGGGCGGCUCCCCCCCGGUGACGCCCUGGGCAUUUCCCUGGGUGUUUCCAUGGACAAAAUCCCGUUUUUACCCCAAAAUUCCAGCUCCAAACUCCCUUUUGGGGGUCCAGGCUCACCUCUGGGGGUCUCCCCGGGGGUCUCCCCGGGCGGCUCCCCCCCGGUGACGCCCUGGGCAUUUCCCUGGGUGUGUCCCUGAACAGAAUCCCGUUUUUACCCCAAAAUUCCGUCUCCAAAUUCCCUUUUGGGGGUUCCAGGCUCACCUGUGGGGGUGUCCCUGAGGGUGUCCCUGGGCAUUUCCCUGGGUGUGUCCCUGGGUGUUUCCAUGGACAAAAUCCCGUUUUUACCCCAAAAUUCCGGUUCCAAACUCCCUUUUGGGGGUCCAGGCUCACCUGUGGGGGUCUCCCCGGGCGGCUCCCCCCCGGUCACGCCCUGGGCGCAGAGCAGGAACCGCCCCACGUGGGCGCCGCACUCGGCCGCGCUCCGGGGCCGCUCCCGCAGGCAGCGCUCCAAGGCGCCCAAGGAGUCGGAGCAAUCCCGGCGGAUCCGGCGCACCAGGGGGCUGCAAAGGGAGGGGGGGCACGGGGAAAAAUCAGGGAAAAAAUUGGGGAAAAACGGGAAAAAAUUGGGAAAAAAUUGGGGGAAAAUAGGGGAUAAAUCGGGGGAAAACAGGGAAAAAAUUGGGA